rnacentral:rRNA from 1 species
GCCCUGUGAGCUAAGGCUUUAACGGCCGCGGUAUCUUGACCGUGCAAAGGUAGCAUAAUCCCUCGCCUUUUAAUUGAAGGCUAGUAUGAAUGGAUAAACGAGUGAUUAGUUGUCUCAUUUUUAGAAUUGUAAAUUAGUCUUCAUGUGAAGAAACCUGAAUAAAAUUAGAAGACAAGAAGACCCUAUUGAGUUUUACUCUAAGGCAAAACUUUUAUUAUUAGUAAUAAAUAAAAUACACUGCCUAAAGUUUGAUUGGGGCAAUCAAUGACUACCCACACCGUCAUUUAAAUUAAAGAACCACAUCAAACAAAUUAUCCACCAAGAGUGAAAUAGAAACAACUACUACCUUAGGGAUAACAGACCAAUCCUUUCAAAGAGUUCUAAUCGAAGAAGGGGAGUGGCACCUCGAUGUUGGCUUAGGAAAGCCCCCAGGUGCAGCAGCUUGAGGGGCUGGUUUGUUCAACCAUUAAAAUCCU